AUAUCAGUCACCAGGGACCUUGUUAAAAAUGUAGGUUCUGAUUAAGCAAGUCUAGGACGAGGCUUCAGAUUCUGCAUUUCUAGCAAGUUCCCAGGUGAUGCUGAU
rnacentral:pre_miRNA from 1 species